UCGUUGUUUUUCUUCCCCGUGUGGGAGUUCCUCUCUUCCUCACCGACCUUGCCGGCGGUGAUAGGAAUCAUCAAGCUUCAACCCAUGGCUCUGGUUGAAGAACGACAGACUUGAAGACGUCUUCGGAGGCCACCGGCUCCUUGAGCAUCUUCAUCCUACGCUCAAAUUCCCCAACUGAAUUGCAAGCUUCUCACAGUGCAAUUCCUUCAACCACGAAAGGAAUUAGAGGCUGGAGAAGAAAUCCGGAAGGCUUGGAGAAAACUAGUGGAAAGCGAUUAGUACCGCCGGUGGAGAAGACCAGUCGAGAGGCUGGACUAGUACCCUCGGGCGAGAAGGCCACCUAGUAGCUGGCUAGCAUCCAAGCACAUGACUCCGGUUGCAAAAGAAGAGGUAGGUAAUCUCCCAGCUUCUUCCCAAAGGAAGAUCGACGCUAGCUCUUAGAGGACUGAUUUUCAUGGUGAAAAACCGAGAGAGCUCGUCGGAAUUCCGUUGGUAGACGGCCAAUAGGAUUUCAGCGAAAGUGACCGGUUAAUCCUCUUUGAAACUUGUCCCAAUCAAUCCAGCAUCGUACUUGAGUUGCUGUCGAGGAAGGAGAUUUGUUCCCUGCUCGUCUUUCCCAAAUCGUGCGUAAUAUCAUACACAGGAAUAAAACUCCAAAUUGAGCGAAAGUUUAAUAUCAAUUUUGAGGAAGGUCAAUGCAGUUUUCACUCUCUCGUUGGCUCAAUUAGGAUCGCCCAGAUCUCAGCAACAUCCUUGCAAAAUCUCAGGCGAAUCUGACAUCCCACGGUGGAGAACGAGCGUCGGUCGGAAUCCAAAUCGUGAACGCCGUCAAACCGGACGCUGCAUUAUUUCCGGCGGAAACUCGACGGACUUCAAACAUUUGCCGCUUCUUUCCAUAUUACCCUUGGUCAGUAUCAAUUGGUAGUAAGUUGAAUUUUAAUUAGCAAGGGCACCGUAGUCAUUCCACCUCCUAAGCACAUUAAGAAAGAAGUGUGAACGACGAGUGUUACACCUCGACGCUCUCCCUUCGAGCUCCUUCUCAUUCACAUUAAAGCGAGAGUUACAAAACUCUCAAGCAUCCUCAAUUCCAGCCCUUCAUUGUGACACCUGUCCCUCAUCCAACGUUCAAGGCCAUUCACCUCCAAACCGCGCGCACAAGGCAUUUAAUUCCCUCCUCUCGUCAAUUCCGCCUCCAUCAUCACGCACAAGGUAAGUAUUCUCUAACACUUGCCAGAGUGUCCCUUCCUCCCCUCGUUAGACCCUUCCUCUCCUUGUAACCGUUCCUAAACCCAUACGAACUCAAGGGUCUUCAUCCUCAUAGCUCGCCACCUAGCACCACUCCAUCGUUAACACCCCACUCCAUCAUUAUCCAAGCCCUAAGUUCAUUAACUCCCUAUUGCCUCUCGCAUGACCCUUCACUUGCCCACCUUCGCACAACCGUUCAUACCUUAAUCACCCUUCUCACCCGAGUCAUAACUCUAAGCCUUUGCCAUAUCAUUCCUAAUUACCAUUCCCCUCGUCAUUAACCUCUAGCCUUUACUCCCUCACAUCACACAAGCCAUCCCUUAGCAUUCCCCUAAGCCUAACCGCUCUUAUGUUUAACUCACUAGCAUUUACUCUAACCCACUCCCUCUAGCCGCACCAUCCAAUCCCUAUCGCCAUUGAGUCAUACCUUAUCCAGAUCUACCUAGACCGGACCCAUCUAACCCAUACCGAGCUCACCUCCUUGUUCCGAGCACGACCUUACCCCUUGGAGUCCAUUAAUUAGGUUCAUCUCCAGGGCUGUUUGUGUUCAAAUCAGAGCUAUCAGUUCAGCAGGCGACAACUUCACACGGCCUUAUUGCUGCACUCAUAGCCUACAACAGCAGAUCAACCACGCAGGCGCCUAGGCAACCUUGGCCAGGUGGGCCGAGCUCCUGCCUCCUCACCAUCGUGCUGCGAUAUCUGAGAGUGGCUUUGCCACUGGAUUUCACUCGGAUCCUAUUGCUGUUUAAGCCGGUCUCUCAUCGGCAAGGUAACUUCUAACCACCCUAUAGAACGUGGGUAAUUGGGUGCACUUUCCUUUCUAAGUCAGACUCUAGUCAUUUGCUACUGUCGAUAGUCCCUCCAAGUCACCUUGCCAAGGACACGGUUGCGAGUAGCUAGACCACCAAAGGGAAAGGACAUGGUUUGGCCAUUCUUAGGGAUUGUAUGAAUGGUUUGGAAUGAAUGAUGAGUGAGUUGUGAGAGUUAAAAUUGUAUCGCUCACGUUUCUACCAGCCUUAAUCCCCUUAGCAUUGUAAUAGGUUUGAAGUCUUGGGUCAGGGUAAACACACUUGUAUCUUUGACCUAGGGAACUAUUAAGCCAGGGUUGUUAAUAAGUCUUUGUAAAUAUAAUUUGUUUUUAGUUAGUCUUGGCUCCCACGAGUGAUCCUGGAGUUGGGGUCUACACUCGGGCGUGAAUUUGUCAAGCCGGGUCUAGAGGUUCCCACCAGUGUGCGUAGGAGUAUGCACACAACUCUAUCUCUCUUGUUUGUGCUGAACUUUUUCAAGAAAAAGAGGAUCUCAUUUAGCAAAGCGUCAUUUCCAAACUAAGCCGCAUAAUCCUCCUCCUUGUGUACUACUUGCUGACAGAUAUGUAUUUAUUUGCUUCAAGUGCUGGCAGAUUACAAAGAAAAGUAAGCCAGUUGAGGGGUUGGUCUCUCCAAUUGUAUUUGCUAUAGGUUGCAGAAGCGGGAGUUUGCUUGUGCACCGUCCGCAAUAUUUCUUGGCCAAAAUGAGUUUACUCUCGAUAUUUGAACUGAUGCAAGAUUACUAGGAGUGAAACCUAUGGAUUUUCCCAUAGAUCAAAAGUUGAAACUCACUUCGGAUGAUAGCAAACCAUUAAAGGAUCCUUCCAAGCUCCAAGUACUGUCGUUUGGUUGGACAGUUGAUCAAGUUGAAUGUGGCACACCCAGAUAUUAUGUUUUGUGUGCAAAUUCUUGUAAGUCAGUUUAUGCAAGUUCCAAAACCGAGCAAGGGAAUUUUACUACCAUAUUCAAGCAAUUGGUAACUAAGGGCCUGUUGUGAUUUUGACUGGCCUGGAAUCCCAUAACCUAUCAUACACAAUGAACAAACGCCAAGGGUGCACCCUACUACCAAUAUGCAUAUUUAAUUCAAUGUUCUAACAUUGCAUGUGUACAAAGAACAUUCUUAACCUUGUUAUUAUCUCAUACCUCUAUCAUUAUCUCAUAAUCAUUAUCACAUACUCUUAGCGUCUGAGAUAUUAACAGGGGGUGGUAUGAGAUAAUGAUAAUGGUAGAAGAUAAUGAUAUAAGGACAGAAGUAUGAGAUAACAAAUAGUGAGAGAGGUAUGAGAUAACUAAAUAAGCGGGAUAAAAAAAACAAAGACAGCUAAUUUGCCACUCAUAGGGUAUCUUGGUUUUCAAGAUAUGCAUAACGGACUGAUACAAAUCAAAUCAUUCGGUUUGAGCUUCAUCAAAUCCUGAAACUUUAUUUUUUUCAUUUUUUUGUCCCUACAAAAAGUUCUUUUUUACUAUUAAUCGAUCAGGAAGAUUCUUUGUCUAAUAAAGCACAGUUGGAUUCAUGUAUCACGCUGCUAUUAGUGGUGUCUCUUCUUAUCCAUUUCAUGAUUUGUUUCUUCUGACAUGUCGACUGUUUACAUGGACAACCUAAAAAAUUUCAUGAUUUGCUUCUUGUGAUCACGUAGACCGUUUACCUUCACAACCUAAAACUUUGUUGCCAAUGGUUAAACUUUUUAUCCCUGCAAUUGUAGCCUGUUUCAUCAAACAGGAGGUCCACACUUUUUUGUCUGAACCUAUCACACACAGAUAGAAACUUUAGGGCAAGUGAUUUUUGUCGCAUGGAUUUUCACCCGUGGACUUUUAUUCGUAGAUUUUUGUCCAUGGUUUUAUGUCUGUGGCAUUGGUUGUUUUCUUUUUUUCUUUUUCUUUUGUUUUCGUUUUCUGAUUGGAUGCUUGAACUGUUUUUGAUUUUGUGUUCAAUCCAUAUGCAUAAUAAGAGCAUCAAGUCGUUCAAAUUAAGCCAAUGAGGAUGACCCAAUCGCACAUGGAGAUCAAGCUCACAAGUUUAAAUCACUUGCCGUUGCCUCUAACUAUUUCCUAAAAGCAUGACUAUGCUUCAAUCUUGAUAUUGUUCAAUCCUUUUGACACGAGCAUGUAAUCUUUCUUUUUCUGUCUCUCUUCAGGUAUUUGAAUUUGACCUUAUUUUUUGUUUCUCUAAGAUCCAUUGUUAUGCAAUUGGGCGGUGCUUUGGCAGUUCAAAAUUCGAUAGCAACAUGGUGAUGCAUGAGCUCUCGUAGUUUCCCUUUGCUUCAGGGUUAACGUCCUUUUCAGAGAUGCCACUUUUCAGAAACCGGUAUGUGGUGGUGGAAGCUUUUCUGGACCAAAAUCGGGACUUCGCUGGAGAUGAGACGAUUAUUCUCACUCAAUUUAAUGUGUCGAAAAUUGAAGUAUGUGAAUCCAAUAACAAAGCUAUGCAUUAUUAGAGUGGCUUUCAAAGAACAUCAAAUGGUAUGGUCUGCUAUCACCACGGUUAAGAGCAUUGGGCAAUGUCCAAUAAUAUUCAACUUGUUGGACUUGAGUGGGAGCUUGAAAGUAGGUAAAACUGUUGCCAUGAAAUGUGAUGAGGCAAAAUUUGAACACUACAAGCUUACAGCUAAAGAUGGGAACUCGCCACAACUUCUCCAAGAAAUACACAACUAUUUUGAGAAAAUAAAAGCUUUGGAAAUGUAAAGGUGAAACUUCUGGCAUUGCUCUACAUGUGUUUGCUAAAUCUGCUUUUUUGGGCUGGGUCCACCAAGUGUUUAUGGAGUACCAUCAUUAGCACAUGGUUCAGACAUGGGAUUGCGAAUGAGUAGCAGCAGCUGUUGCAAUACAGCUGUUGCAAUACUUGAGAAGGCUCUGGUUCGCAGAACAGCUUAGCUAGUGGCUCUGCUGUUGUUUUAUUAUUGCUGGUAAACUGGAUGAUUUCGAAAUGGAGAGUUCAUGCCAGGCAGAUUGCGAGAGGUGUGUUUGAUUUUAAUGUGUAUUAACAAUGCCACUAUUGAAUGUAAAACAAAAGGUUUUUUUGGGCAACCAAUAAAUUUUUUUAUAUUAGAGCA